AUAAGCUAGCUUGACUGCGAGCGUGACGGCGCGAGCAGGUGCGAAAGCAGGUCAUAGUGAUCCGGUGGUUCUGAAUGGAAGGGCCAUCGCUCAACGGAUAAAAGGUACUCCGGGGAUAACAGGCUGAUACCGCCCAAGAGUUCAUAUCGACGGCGGUGUUUGGCACCUCGAUGUCGGCUCAUCACAUCCUGGGGCUGAAGUAGGUCCCAAGGGUAUGGCUGUUCGCCAUUUAAAGUGGUACGCGAGCUGGGUUUAGAACGUCGUGAGACAGUUCGGUCCCUAUCUGCCGUGGGCGCUGGAGAAUUGAGGGGGGCUGCUCCUAGUACGAGAGGACCGGAGUGGACGCAUCACUGGUGUUCGGGUUGUCAUGCCAAUGGCACUGCCCGGUAGCUAAAUGCGGAAGAGAUAAGUGCUGAAAGCAUCUAAGCACGAAACUUGCCCCGAGAUGAGUUCUCCCUGAGACUUUAAGUCUCCUGAAGGAACGUUGAAGACGACGACGUUGAUAGGCCGGGUGUGUAAGCGCAGCGAUGCGUUGAGCUAACCGGUACUAAUGAACCGUGAGGCUUAACCUUACAACGCCGAAG
rnacentral:rRNA from 1 species